GACCAGCCACAAUGGAAGUGAGAACGGGUGCAGACGCCUACGGGGGGCAGCAGUGGGGAAUAUUGCACAAUGGGGGAAACCCUGAUGCAGCGACGCCGCGUGAGUGAAGAAGUAUUUCGGUAUGUAAAGCUCUAUCAGCAGGGAAGAAAAUGACGGUACCUGACUAAGAAGCCCCGGCUAACUACGUGCCAGCAGCCGCGGUAAUACGUAGGGGGCAAGCGUUAUCCGGAUUUACUGGGUGUAAAGGGAGCGUAGACGGCUUUGCAAGUCUGAUGUGAAAGGCCGGGGCUCAACCCCUGGACUGCAUUGGAAACUGUGAGGCUAGAGUGCCGGAGAGGUAAGCGGAAUUCCUAGUGUAGCGGUGAAAUGCGUAGAUAUUAGGAGGAACACCAGUGGCGAAGGCGGCUUACUGGUCACCAACUGACGCUGAGGCUCGAAAGUGUGGGUAGCAAACAGGAUUAGAUACCCGGGUAGUC
rnacentral:rRNA from 1 species